ensembl:lncRNA
AUCACAAAAAACUGGACAUAAAAUAAGCAUACAUAAGGCUGUAUUUUUCCUUUUUAGGCUUCCACAUCCGCACACGCUUGUCUUUUCACCUAAGACUGUACAUUCCCAUCCCUGCUGCAGUGAGCUAACCGAACAUCUCAGCACUGGCCAGGAUUGCAGCAGAGAUGGUCUUUGCAGCUUUCCAGGGAGCCCUUUCCUAUUUGUCAGUCACUGAGUUCCCAGCGAUGGCUUAAGACGUCAAUACAUUUCUGCAAUUCUGUGCUCUGCUCUGUAAGACUCCUGAUGGAAAAGUUUGCCAUUGAAGGAAAAGGGAGGGGAAAAAUAGCAGGAGAAAAGCCUUCCUCAUCUUGUGGAGAAGAAUGUAGGUGAAGUGGGGCUCCAACUGAAGUUUUAAUUGCUAAUAAAUAGUGGAGGAAAUGGAGCUGCAAAUGCUCUACCCUAGUAAGACUCCAAGCCUUAACACUGGGUUGAUCU